UGUCGUUAAAAAUUUAUCUAAAGUUACCUGGACGUUUAAACAAGAAUGGAGGUCUGGAUAAUUUUCGUGAUUUUGCAACUUCUUCGCUCUUCAGUGUGUCACGAGGAACACAUAGAUGGAUACGGGCUCUGUCGUGUCUGGGAAUACUACGGAUUACGACGGCGGCUACGGAAAAUGUACGUAACCCUAUAACAUGCUGCUCCUUACGAAUGUGUCCACGAGUAAUGUUAUGCAUAGAAUAUACGAAUAGAUGGGGAUGCAGAUGCGCAUUGACUGAAGAGCAGAAGAGACGCAGAGAGGAACAAGCUCAAGCAGUCAGGGAAAGGUUGCGUAUCGUGCAUGAACACAACCACGGCUAACCAAAUACACCAAACUGAACCCUUAGCAUUGUGUAAAAAUCUAACUGAAAAGUGUGAAAUUUGAGUCGCCACAAAACGGCAGUUUUUUUAUUAUUAUUUGAGGUGUUAUAACAGAAUUUGUUAACGUCGUAUAUUUCAAAAGGUUUUUUUUCUUCGCAUUUUGCCUAUUGUAAUCAUGUUCACAAAUAAACUCGAUUUAACAAUU
rnacentral:misc_RNA from 1 species